rnacentral:rRNA from 1 species
UACGUAGGGGGCUAGCGUUGUCCGGAUUUAUUGGGCGUAAAGAGCGUGUAGGCGGCCAUGUAGGUCCGGUGUGAAAACUCGAGGCUUAACCUCGAGAUGUCAUCGGAAACCAUUUGGCUAGAGUCCGGAAGAGGAGGGUGGAAUUCCUGGUGUAGCGGUGAAAUGCGCAGAUAUCAGGAAGAACACCAAUGGCGAAAGCAGCUCUCUGGGACGGGACUGACGCUGAGACGCGAAAGCGUGGGGAGCGAACAGG